rnacentral:tRNA from 1 species
AGCAUAGCCAAGUGGAAAGGCAACGGUUUUUGAUAUCGUGAUACAAAGGUUCGAUUCCUUUUGCU